CAUGUAGGCGGUUUUUUAAGUCCGGAGUGAAAAUGCGGGGCUCAACCCCGUAUGGCUCUGGAUACUGGAAGCCUUGAGUAUGGCAGAGGUGAGUGGAACUGCGAGUGUAGAGGUGAAAUUCGUAGAUAUUCGCAAGAACACCAGUGGCGAAGGCGGCUCACUGGGCCAUUACUGACGCUGAGGCACGAAAGCGUGGGGAGCAAAC
rnacentral:rRNA from 1 species